rnacentral:SRP_RNA from 1 species
CCCGCUGGUAAGCACAGCGCGGACGCCUGAACCUGGUCAGAGCCGGAAGGCAGCAGCCAUAAGGGAUGCUCUUGCGGGUGUGCUUACUGGCUUUUUU